rnacentral:rRNA from 1 species
CCCGCACAAGCGGAGGAACAUGUGGUUUAAUUCGAUGAUACGCGAGGAACCUUACCUGGGCUUAAAUGGGAGUGACAGCUGUCGAAAGAUGGUUUUCUUCGGACACUCUUCAAGGUGCUGCAUGGUUGUCGUCAGCUCGUGCCGUGAGGUGUCGGGUUAAGUCCCAUAACGAGCGCAACCCUUACCGUUAGUUACCAUCAGGUUAAGCUGGGGACUCUAGCGGGACUGCCACCGUAAGGUGAGAGGAAGGUGGGGAUGACGUCAAAUCAGCACGGCCCUUAUGUCCAGGGCUACACACGUGUUACAAUGGCCAGUACAAAGGGCAGCUACCGGGUGACCGGAUGCUAAUCUCUAAAGCUGGUCUCAGUUCGGAUCGAAGUCUGCAACCCGACUUCGUGAAGCUGGAUUCGCUAGUAAUCGCGCAUCAGCCACGGCGCGGUGAAUACGUUCCCGGGCCUU